rnacentral:rRNA from 1 species
GACGAACGCUGGCGGCGUGCUUAACACAUGCAAGUCGAACGGAAAGGCCCCCACCUUGGUGGGGGUGCUCGAGUGGCGAACGGGUGAGUAACACGUGGGUGAUCUGCCCUGUACUUCGGGAUAAGCUUGGGAAACUGGGUCUAAUACCGGAUAGGACCAUGGUUUAGUGUCUCAUGGUGGAAAAAUUAUUGUUUUGGUGCAGGAUGAGCUCGCGGCCUAUCAGCUUGUUGGUGGGGUAAUGGCCUACCAAGGCGUCGACGGGUAGCCGGCCUGAGAGGGUGGACGGCCAACUUGGGACGGGGUUCCCGCCCAGACGCCUACGGGAGGGAGGGGGGGGGAAUAGUGAACAAGGGGGGCAAGCCUGCUCAAGUGACCCCGCGGGGGGAAGGCCGGCUUUUGGGGUGGAAGCCCCUUGAGGUGGGGACGAACCCCUACUUUUUUGUGGUGCGGUGACGUUCCUUUGUUGAGAAAGGGCCGCGGAUCUAGGC